GAUAGAAGAACUUGGUACAAAAAUCAUUCUUGAAUACACCUAGCUUUCUUCUUAGCUUUUGGUUUUCACAUAAAACAGUUUACAUUGAAGGGGAAAACAUUGACCAAAUGUCACCUUCACAAGGAGGUUCACUUCUUAUUAACUAAAACUUUAAUGGUAUGAGCAGAGUCGGAAAAAGAAAGCUAAUGUCGCGCUAGCUAGAGGUUAAAGAGAAGUCCUUGAUGGUGUUGAUACUCCACAUCCUAAGGUUGCUCCCCAAUCUUUGUUGGAUUUUUGUAUCGUCCAUCUGAACAUCCGGU